rnacentral:rRNA from 1 species
UGGGGAAUAUUGGACAAUGGGCGCAAGCCUGAUCCAGCCAUGCCGCGUGAGUGAUGAAGGCCCUAGGGUUGUAAAGCUCUUUCACCGGUGAAGAUAAUGACGGUAACCGGAGAAGAAGCCCCGGCUAACUUCGUGCCAGCAGCCGCGGUAAUACGAAGGGGGCUAGCGUUGUUCGGAUUUACUGGGCGUAAAGCGCACGUAGGCGGACUUUUAAGUCAGGGGUGAAAUCCCGGGGCUCAACCCCGGAACUGCCUUUGAUACUGGAAGUCUUGAGUAUGGUAGAGGUGGGUGGAAUUCCGAGUGUAGGGGUGAAAUUCGUAGAUAUUCGGAGGAACACCAGUGGCGAAGGCGGCUCACUGGACCAUUACUGACGCUGAGGUGCGAAAGCGUGGGGAGCAAACAGG